rnacentral:rRNA from 1 species
CAUUGGUGAAAAGCUUGAGUGCAGAAGAGGAGAGGUGGAAUUGUAGUGGAGGAAAUGAGCAAUAUGGUAGGAACAACAUCGCGAAGGGGGAGGUCUCUGGUCUGUACACUAGACGCUGAUGUGCGAAAGCGUAGGGGAGCAAACCAGGCUUAGAUACCCUGGUAGUGCACGCCAACGAAGAGUGCUAAGUGUUAGGGGGUUUCCGCCCCUUAGGCUGCAGCUAACGCAUUAAGCACUCCGCCUGGGAGUACGACCGCCAGGUUGAAACUCAAAGGAAUUACGGGGGGCCGCACAAGGGUGGAGCAUGUGGUUUAAUUUGAAACGCGAAGAACCUUACCAAAUCUUGACAUCCUUUGACCACUUUAGAGAUAGAGUUUUCCCCUUUUGGGGACAAAAUGACAGGUGGUGCAUGGUUGUUGUCAGCUCGUGUCGUGAGAAGUUGGGUUAAGUUCCCCAACGAGGGCAACCCUUAAGCUUAGUUGCCCUCCUUAAGUUGGGCACUCAAAUUGACUGCCGGUGACAAACCGGAGGAAGGGGGGGAGGAGGUCAAAUCAUCAUGCCCCCUAUGAUUUGGGGUACACACGUGCUACAAUGGACAAUACAAAGGGCAGAUAAACCGCGAGGGCAAACAAAUCCCAUAAAAAUGUUUUCAGUUGGAUUGUAGUUUGCAACUCGAGUACAUGAAGCUUGAAUCGCUAGUAAUCGUAGAAGCAUGCCGGUGAAUACGUUCCCGGGUCUUGUUCACACCGCCCGUCACCCCCCCAGAGUUUGUAACACCCGAAGCCGGGGGAGUAACCCCUUAGGAGGUAGCGUCUCAC